GGAGAGGUGGCCGAGUGGUCGAAGGCGAUCGCCUGCUAAGCGAUUACAGGGGAAACUCUGUCGCGGGUUCGAAUCCCGCCCUCUCCGCCA
rnacentral:tRNA from 1 species